GUCCUUGUAGCUUAUAAAA
rnacentral:tRNA from 1 species